ensembl:lncRNA
UCUCUCUCUCUCUCUCUCUCUCUCUCUCUCUCUCUCUCUCUCUCUCUCUCUCCCCUCUCUUUGCACAUGUGUGACUCAUUUAGUGUCAUCAUCCAUUAUUCCUGAGCACACAUUUGCUCGGUCAUGCUGUGUACAUCUGUGUGAUUGGGUUUGUUCUAAGGUGUGUGUGUGUGUGUGUGUGUGUGUGUUUGUGCAGGUGUUUUCUUUGUGGGGAUGGGGUGGGGGCCGUUUGGUUCAGGUUAGUUUUGAGUUUAUUCAUGUGUGUUCCUCAUGAAAAAUGGAUGGCUCCCUAUAGCCUGUGUGUGUGUUUGUUUGUGUGUGUGUGUAUGUGUGUGUUUGCUAAGCGGUGUCUGUCCGCGUGUGUUUUGCGUAUGUGUGUGUGUGUGUGUUUUCUUUGUGUACGUGUGUGCAUAUGUUUUCUUUGCGUUGUGUGUCUGCGUGUGUGUGUGUGUGUGUCCCUGCGUGGUGCGUGAGUGACGCAGGCUAACCCCGCGCCCCAGCGGCCGCCCUUGCAGUAAUCAGAGCCCUGGGCCUCCUGUUGUCCAGAUUGUUCCGACCUGAAUAUUUCAUCAGCGGUGGUUGCAGGGGACUGCGUGCCCCGGCGUGGACUGCCUGACUCACAGCCGGGGCAGCAUAGAGCUGAUUCUUGUUUUCGUUGCCAUUACUAUUUCUUCUUCCAUUUUGUGAUUGCGCCAUUGAUAGAUAAAAAGAAACAACACCCCAAGAGAGCCUCCUUAUUUGGCUGUUGGCAUGGUUAUUUUAAAAUGAGGUUUUACAUGUGUGUGUGUGUGUGUGUGUGUGUGUGUGUGUGUGUGUGUGUGUGUGUGUGUGUGUGUGUGUGUGUGUGUGUGUGUGUGUGUGUGUGCGCACACAUGUUGGUUUGUGUGUGUGUGAGAGUGUGUAUGGUUUGUGAGAGAGGCUGUGGGGAGGGGUUGAUGGUGGGUAUGAUGCACACACUUGUCUAGACGUACGUCUGUGGGUGUGUGUGCGUGUGUGUGUGGUUGUGUGUUCCUUAAGUAUCUGAAUGAUGAUGCCAGCAGCCAGAUCCUCCAAUAUGUCUUUGAAUAUGGUCUUGGCAGACGUCUCCAAACCACCACUUGGCUGUUAAGUAGGAGAGAUGAGUGGGAGAGAGAGAGAGAGAUGCGAGACAGUAAGAGAGAGAGAGAGAGAGAGAGAGAGAGAGAGAGAGAGAGAGAGAGAGCGAGAGAAGAUGGCAGUAGUGACCCUGCAGAUGACUCAGUUAACACAUUUCAUCUCUGCUAUCCCUUCUGAAAGGCAUCAAACCAACACCCCCCCCAUGUUGCUUUCAUUCCGACUUUGUAUUUUUUUUUUUAUCACGAGUUCCCAGCAUCACACUUACCUUUUCCAUUCUGUUCUGAAUCAAUUCAUCCGUUUUGUGUUUCUGUUCUUUUUUGUCACCUUUUUUGUUAUUUUCCGGGCCGCUCUGCGACUUGUUCACCGGGUUAUAUUCGACGUGCCGGAGCCCCCUGUGGUGCUUGAUGAAAUGUCGCUGGGGGGGAAGUGGAUCUGGAAGUUAUCUGAGUCCGCCGCCGUGCUGCACCAAGGAGGGGGGGAGGAGCUCCUAAAACAUCUAACAGGGAUUGUUAUUUUCUCCUCUUCUGCCAUAUGCUAAUGAUUUGAAUCUGGUGAUGCAUGUGUUUAUUGUCUCCGUCUCCCCUACCGUUUCAGCCAGGGUUUGUUUUUCAUUGUUUGUGUUUGCCUGGGAUAUAAGAUAAUUAUAUCGCUUUUGUUUUUAUUAUAUUUGUAUGGCCAUUCCUCAUUUGUGUAUUUGUACGGAAACUCCUCAUUGUGUUUUUAUUAUUUUAUGAUACAAAAUGGUACCACGGUAAAAAAAAAAGUAUAAAUACGUUCCAAGUACAGUGCAAUGUUCCUCCAUACACUAGACUUUGAUUAAAAACUGUCUCCGCUCUGCGCUCUGUACAUACAUUUUACAUUGAAUAAAGUCUGCAGAGUUUUCAUCCUGCUAGCAAUUUAUUCCUUUUCCCUGGCGCCUACUACUUUUUUUUACAAACUGUUCUUCUUUUUCG